rnacentral:tRNA from 1 species
GUGCGCCUGGCGAAAUGGUAGACGCGAUGGACUUAAAAUCCAUUCAGACUUACUGGUGUCGGUUCAAGUCCGACGGCGACG